rnacentral:lncRNA from 1 species
UUCAACACGACAUAAAUCUAAAAAAUCAAUCCAUUGCAAAACAAAAGCGAAUAAGCAUCCAUUGCCACUCCCUUCCAUUAUGCAUACCUUCUAUGUGUUAUACAUCUAAUCCAAGGUAUUAGACAUAAAACUAAAUUAGGGACAUUCAUCACAAAUAGUUGAUUAUGGGAUCAAAUAGUUGAUUCUGUGAUCAAUACUUCUCAGUCCAAAAUAAUCCAAAUGUAUAUGAG